CACCAGACUCCUACGGGAGGCAGCAGUGGGGAAUAUUGCACAAUGGGGGAAACCCUGAUGCAGCGACGCCGCGUGAGUGAAGAAGUAUUUCGGUAUGUAAAGCUCUAUCAGCAGGGAAGAAAAUGACGGUACCUGACUAAGAAGCCCCGGCUAACUACGUGCCAGCAGCCGCGGUAAUACGUAGGGGGCAAGCGUUAUCCGGAUUUACUGGGUGUAAAGGGAGCGUAGACGGCGAUGCAAGUCUGAAGUGAAAGGCGGGGGCCCAACCCCCGGACUGCUUUGGAAACUGUAUAGCUGGAGUGCAGGAGAGGUAAGGGGAAUUCCUAGUGUAGCGGUGAAAUGCGUAGAUAUCAGGAGGAACACCGGCGGCGAAGGCGGCUUACUGGACGGCAACUGACGUUGAGGCCCGAAAGCGUGGGGAGCGAACAGGAUUAGAUACCCUUGUAC
rnacentral:rRNA from 1 species